rnacentral:rRNA from 1 species
UACGUAGGGGGCUAGCGUUGUCCGGAAUCAUUGGGCGUAAAGAGCGUGUAGGCGGUUAGGUAGGUCCGUUGUGAAAACUCGAGGCUCAACCUCGAGACGCCGAUGGAAACCAUCUGACUAGAGUCCGGAAGAGGAGAGUGGAAUUCCUGGUGUAGCGGUGAAAUGCGCAGAUAUCAGGAAGAACACCCGUGGCUAAGGCGGCUCUCUAGUACGUGACUGACGCUGAGACGCGAAAGCGUGGGGAGCGAACAGG